UACGAAGGGUGCAAGCGUUACUCGGAAUUACUGGGCGUAAAGCGUGCGUAGGUGGUUUCUUAAGUCUGCUCUGAAAGCCCCGGGCUCAACCUGGGAAUUGCAGUGGAUACUGGGGAGCUAGAGUGCGGUAGAGGGUAGUGGAAUUCCCGGUGUAGCGGUGAAAUGCGUAGAGAUCGGGAGGAACACCAGUGGCGAAGGCGGCUACCUGGACCAGCACUGACACUGAGGCACGAAAGCGUGGGGAGCAAACAGG
rnacentral:rRNA from 1 species